UACGUAGGGUGCGAGCGUUGUCCGGAAUUAUUGGGCGUAAAGAGCUCGUAGGCGGUCUGUCGCGUCGGAUGUGAAAAAUCCAGGGCUCAACCCUGGACCUGCAUUCGAUACGGGGCAGACUAGAGUUCGGUAGGGGGAGACUGGAAUUCCUGGGUGUAGCGGUGAAAAUGCGUAGAUAUCAUGAGGAAUACCAGAGGCAAGGCGGCUACCU
rnacentral:rRNA from 1 species